UACGAAGGGGGCUAGCGUUGCUCGGAAUCACUGGGCGUAAAGGGUGCGUAGGCGGGUCUUUAAGUCAGGGGUGAAAUCCUGGAGCUCAACUCCAGAACUGCCUUUGAUACUGAGGAUCUUGAGUUCGGGAGAGGUGAGUGGAACUGCGAGUGUAGAGGUGAAAUUCGUAGAUAUUCGCAAGAACACCAGUGGCGAAGGCGGCUCACUGGCCCGAUACUGACGCUGAGGCACGAAAGCGAUGGGGAGGCAAA
rnacentral:rRNA from 1 species